rnacentral:tRNA from 1 species
GACCACUUAGUUUAAUAAAAAUAAGUAUUUUGAAAGUAUUAGAUAAGAAAUUUUAUCUUAGUGGUUG